CUUGUGAAUGCUGUCCUCCACACUUCUAUCAAUGGACUGUACAGCCAGAUUCUCAUUCACGUGUGCUUUCCAAUUACAAUAUUGAUUCAUUGAGAGUUACUGACAGUUCUUUAUUAGGCUAGAACGAGACUACUACUUCAGGUGUAAGAUCCACUGUCACCCUUAUUUGUUCUGGACAGGCACUCUCUCAGGAUGAUGGAUGCUUUCAUGAACAUAACAGAAAUGUCUAAAUUUAAUGUGACCACGACUGAGUUCUUUUUCUACAGUAACUGUAAAGGUACCAUCAAGUCACUUCUGACUCGUGGUAAUCCUCACAGGGAAUGUGAAAUGUCAAGGAGUGGCCUACCACUGUCACCACCAGCCAAUGGUUUUCCAUGGCCAAGCCAGGAUUUGACUCAAGUCUACGCCACACUGACUUUUUGCUGUGGAUAUACUUGCAUAAAAUUCUUAGAGGGGAAAGUAUUAAGCAAGUGUUCUUUUCCCACUCCUCUCCUACAUCUCUGCACCUGCCAUUUGUCCAAUCAAACAUUUAUUCUUUCUCUCUGUCUCUCUCCAUUUUAAAAUAUUGUUUGAAGAUGUUUACAUCUGUCCCUUGUGUAAUGUCAUGUCUG